ACGGGAUUGGGAGCUUGCUCCCAUGAGAGUGGCGCACGGGUGAGUAACGCGUAUGCAACCUGCCUUUAACUGAGGGAUAGCCCAUAGAAAUGUGGAUUAAUACCUCAUAGUUCUGAGAGAUCGCAUGAUUUUUCAGAUAAAGCUCCGGCGGUUAAAGAUGGACAUGCGUGACAUUAGCUAGUUGGUGAGGUAACGGCUCACCAAGGCAACGAUGUCUAGGGGGUCUGAGAGGAUGAUCCCCCACACUGGUACUGAGACACGGACCAGACUCCUACGGGAGGCAGCAGUGAGGAAUAUUGGGCAAUGGGCGGGAGCCUGACCCAGCCAUCCCGCGUGCAGGAUGAAGGCCUUAUGGGUUGUAAACUGCUUUUCUGCGGGGAGAAUAGUCCCGACGCGUCGGGGUAUGACGGUACCGCAGGAAUAAGCAUCGGCUAACUCCGUGCCAGCAGCCGCGGUAAUACGGAGGAUGCAAGCGUUAUCCGGAUUCAUUGGGUUUAAAGGGUGCGCAGGCGGCACAGCGAGUCAGUGGUGAAAUCCUGCAGCUCAACUGUAGAAUUGCCUUUGAUACUGGUCGUCUUGAGUCAUUGUGAAGUGGUUGGAAUAUGUAGUGUAGCGGUGAAAUGCAUAGAUAUUACAUAGAACACCGAUUGCGAAGGCAGAUCACUAACAAUGUACUGACACUGAUGGACGAAAGCGUGGGGAGCGAACAGGAUUAGAUACCCUGGUAGUCCACGCCGUAAACGAUGGGUACUGGCUAUACUGGGUGUUGACCCCCGGUGUGGCGUAGCUAACGCGUUAAGU
rnacentral:rRNA from 1 species